rnacentral:rRNA from 1 species
UACGCAGGUCCCGAGCGUUGUCCGGAUUUAUUGGGCGUAAAGCGAGCGCAGGUGGUUUAUUAAGUCUGGUGUAAAAGGCAGUGGCUCAACCAUUGUAUGCAUUGGAAACUGGUAGACUUGAGUGCAGGAGAGGAGAGUGGAAUUCCAUGUGUAGCGGUGAAAUGCGUAGAUAUAUGGAGGAACACCGGUGGCGAAAGCGGCUCUCUGGCCUGUAACUGACACUGAGGCUCGAAAGCGUGGGGAGCAAACAGG